CUCUCUUCCGCGCUUCGCUGAGGGACUCACUCGCGCAUCACCCGCGGCUGCCGGUCGAGUGUCCCAGGCGCUCCGGGGCCGCGGUGACCCUCGCGGUGCGGACCGAGGAGGAAGCGCCGUGGGGGGCGGGGCGGCGCCGCACGAUCCGGCCUUCAGCUUCACGGACGUGGGCUGAGAACCCGCCCGCGCCGCGCUGAGCAGGGCCGAGGGAGCCGGCCAGGGCCCCAGAGGAGUCCGGAACGGAUUCCCGUCGCUACCGAGGUCUGCGCGUGUAAGGAGAGGACGUCGGAGAUUUGCCUCGAGGGGUGGGGUAUAGAUGACUGGAGAGGUCAGGCGCGGGUUGGUCAUCGCUGAGGCUGGGUGAUGGGUGGCCGGAUUCGUUAUACUGUUUUCUCCACUUUUCUGUAUGUUUGAUAUUUUUCAUAAUAAAGUUUGUAAAAGUAAAAACGGGGGUUGGGGGUCGGCGGUGAGAAUAGCCAUUUAAUCUUCCUAAAUGGAUUCUGCCCUCAAAGGAUUGACGCUCUUUUCUCUGUCACUCUCCAAUAAUGAUUAGAAUAAUAAGUUGUAUUUUGAGGAGCUGUUUUCUGGUCCCGGGGAGACCCUUGGUGAACUCAGCAGUACCAUCAGCAUGUAUCCCACGAUGGAGCUCAGUUCAGCCAACUGUUGUCCAGGUGGCUUCUGGAUUUGGGGGAUUAUCUAUGGAUCAAGUUUAAUCUCAGGCUGUCUGCCCCCACCGGUCCCCAGGGGCUUCAGGCCUCCCACCCCUAUUCCUGGGGAAGCAGACACAAUUCACCCAUUCAGCAAGCAUUUAUUGAGGGUCAGCCGUGUGCCAGGGCUUUGCUAGCUGCGGGGACACAUGGAUGGAAACAGGUUUCUGCCCCCAAGCUCACUGCCAACCAUUUUAUUGUUAGCCUGGCUGGGACUGCUUGAUGGAAAACAGUCUGCCCGCACUAGACAAGGGCUUGUUGACAACUGACAUAAGGGAAUGAGGUUUUCAGAAGGAAGCAGAGAUCAAAUUUUGAAAUCAGAUGCAAUCAAAUCAGACACCAGGACAGCCAGCAUUGCCUCUGGGUCACAGAUGCAUCCACCCAAAGGCGCUGUCCUCGCCUUGCCAGUGGGGUCUUGGUGAAGACGUGAUGCGGGGGCCUUCUUUCUUUUUGUGGUUAUCUGUGCCAGCCUUCCCUGCAGGCUGCUCUUCCUCUAGCACGUUCUGUUUCUGUUACCGGCUCUUUCCACCCCCGGCAUCUCCGCCUAGAGCCACACACAUACGCGGAGCACCCACGUGGGCCAGGCUUUGUUUUGGGGCUGGCGGCACCAACAUGCAGAUGCUGUGGCUCAAAGGAUUAAUUAAUUUGCUUAAGAUAAUGCAACAUGAGAAAAGCAGAUCAGGACGGAAUUCCAGAACAAGGAUUUUGCUUGAAAUAACAUCACUACUAAUUGUCUCUCUGCACCUCCUGGCUCAUUUCUCUACUCCCACACCUUCCCUGCUGACCCUAGUCAAGGAGCUGUGAACAUACAAAUAGUGCCUGAUACACUAGGGCCUCGGCAUUGGCCAUGGGAGUGAGGGAGAAAAUCAUUUAAGAGGCUUUGUAGUCGAUUUCAACAAAGAAGGCAAUGCCAGUGAAGCAUCUUGCAGGAAUCCCUCCCUGACUGCUUCAGUCCACAGCGCUCUUACCUUUCUCUAUACACUUACAAUCUGUUUCAUUUACUUCCUAGCAGACCUUGCAGAAACCAUUAUUUCAUAUGAUACGUUUCCCCCAUAGAAUAUAAGCUCCUUAAGGGAAGAGAUUUUUGCUUGGUUUUAUAAUGCUGAAUUCCAAGUGCCUAGAAAGGGCCUGGCAGGUCGUAGGCACAAGAAGUAUUGGUUGGUUGAAUAUAUACUUCUUGCAACCCACAGAAACUGAUGUUGGUCUGGGCCAGGCCCUGCCCUGGCUUCCAGGGAUGCAGAAGUGAAUCGAAUAACUUCCUGCCCUCUGAACUUAUGGGGGAGACAUACAUACCUGCAUAUUCACAAGAGAUUUCAUCACAUGUAACCAAAGUAAAAAGGUGGCCACCAGAAGGGGGACUGGACCUGCUUGUUGGAAGGGUGCAAAUGGAAACUAGAGAGGUGAUUGUUCCAGACAUUCCCAGUGGGACAGGUGGCUGUGAGCCUGUGAUGAACUGAGAGACACCACUGAGUAAAAGUUAAGAGGACAGGCUCUGGAGCCCAACUGUCUGGGUUGAAUCUUUCUCUACCAAUUACUAGUUGUGUGAUGUCGUACCAGUGAUAUACUGUUGAGAUAAACGCAUAUUCCAAGACUCACUGCAGAGAUUCCAAACCAGCAAGUCUGGGCUGGCUAGGAAUCUGCUUCGUUGUUCCACAAACAUGUUAUUGUUUAUUGCAGAGGGUCUACAGACCAUGCCUUGAAAAGCUGUGGCCUUCAGGGAGGAAGGGUCAUGCUAACCAGCAAACUGGAAUGUCACACUGUGUGUCAUUGACAUUUUUCAGUGUGAAAUCACAAACUAUCAUUCAGGGUUAGACUUUAUACUACCCAGUAAGUGUCAUGGAGGAGGCUUCAGGACAGCUGGGGAAUUCAACAGGCCUGGUCUCUACCAGGUUAUCCCGGGACACUCCCCAGCAGCAGAUUUCAAGGCAUUCUGCCUUCACUUUAGGCCUAGGGUGAACCUGCAGGAGGCUCUCUGCAAAUAUUCAUUGAUCAACCGAUAGCUUUUCUAGCCAAGCACCAGCUGGCUAGCCUCAGUCCCAUGCAGAGGUUCUGGGAGGACUGCAGGAACCCCAGAGAGGGCUAGGGUGCAAUGAGGGUGCAAGAGGUGGUACCCAGCUCUGAUGUCUCCAUGUCUUGACUUGAGCUAGGACCUCAUACCCAGGACCCCAGAGAAGCCAGAUGGAAAUAAGGCCAUAGGAGAUGUGAGGGCUCAGAGCCUGCAAUCUCUGGACAAACUCCAUCUCUUUGAGCCUCAGAUGAAAUGCAAGGCCUGAGUGUUACAGGUCAUUCUCCGUUUGUUCAUUCCGUAAAUAUUUCAGCCUCUGUCAUGUGCCAGGCUGCGCUAGGGAGACCAUGGUGAGACAGGUCUCUGUACUCAGUGAGCUUAUACUCCAGAGAGGGAUCAGACAAUAAGGUAAUAUACAUUAAUUAAUAUCAGAAGGUAAUGAGAGGAAGACCGUAGUCCAGGAGCAGCUAUGGCUCAUGGCUGUAAUCCCAACACUUUGGGAGGCUGAAGCAGGUAGAUCGCUGAGUCCAGGAGUUUGAGACCAGCCUGGGCAAUAUGGUGAAACCCUAUCUCACACACACAUAAAAUUAGCCAGCAUGGUGGCACACUCCUUUAGUCCCAGCUACUCAGGAGGCUGAGGUGGGAGGACUGAUUGAGCCCGGGAGGUCAAGGCUACAGUGAGCCAUGAUCACAUCCCUGCAUUCCAGCUUGGGUGACAGAGUGAGACCCUAUCUCAAGAAAAAAAAAAAAGAGAGAGAUAGAGGAAGACCAUAAAAGGGUAACGGAGCUGGUCAUGGUGGCUCAUGUUUACAGUCCCAGCUACUUAUCCAACCCACGGCCCAUGGGCUGCAUGAAGCCCAGGACAGCUUUGAACAUGGCCCAACACAAAUUCAUAAACUUUCUUAAAAAUUAUGAGAUUUUUGCCAGGCACAGUGGCUCACGCCUGUAAUCCCAGCACUUUGGGAGGCUGAGGCAGGUGGAUCACCUGAGGUCAGGAGUUCGAGACCAGCCUGACCAGCAUGGUGAAAUCCCAUCUCUACUAAAAAUACAAAAUUAGCGGGCAUGGCGGUACAUGCCUGUAAUCCCAGCUACUAGGAAAGCUGAGGCAGGAGAAUCACUUGAACCUGGGAGGCGGAGGUUGCAGUGAGCCGAGAUCAUGCCAUUGCACGCCAGCCUGGGCAACAAGAGCGAAACUCCAUCUCAAAAAAAAAAAAAAAAAAAUUAUGAGUUUUAUGUGAUUUUUUUUUUAAGCUCAUCAGCUAUCAUUAGUGUUAGUGUAUUUUAUGUGUGGCCCAAGGCAAUUCUUCUUCCAGUGUGGCCCAGGGAAGCCAAAAGAUUGGACACCCCUGCUCUACAGUGUUCUUAACAAGAGAUCCUGCAGGUUGGACAAGCUUGCUGUACAGCGUUCUUAACAAGAGAUCAUCUAGCCCCUGGGUGGCCAUCUGUACUGUCUGAGGGCUCAUGACUGUGACCUCAGAGACUCUUUAAAUAAUGAAAUCAUGGCUAUAACUAUGGCAAACCUCAAUGGAGAAUGUCAUGCCAAUCAUAACCUCGUUUCACCUGAGCUGCACAAUUACUUCUCAGGUAGGUGCUCCUGCUGUAUUAGGGGCAUUUUACCAAUUGGGAUGCUGAGACUUAGAGAGUUGAGGCAAGUUGCUCAGGUCACUUAUUUGUUAGGCGGCAGAACAGGGAUUCUAAUCCAGGGCGAACUCUAGAGUGCGGGACUCUUAAAUGACACAUGGCAUUGUUGAUCUAAUGGGGUUUGGUACCCGCUAUCCCACAUCCUACUUUUCUCUAAGGCAGGAACUCUUGGAUCUGGAGGUCACAGCCUCCCCUUAGACUGUAAAAAAGUGCCUGCUGGGCACUGGUCCCAUGCUGAGGGCACCCCUCUGGCACAUCCUCUGAGCAUGGGAUUGCUGAGAGCUACAGUCUGGGGGUGGUGAGCCAGAUCAGCACAGAUCAUGCAUGGAAACCACCCUUCUAGGCAACCCCUUCGAAAAGGAAGAAUUCCUGGUCCAGAGCUGUGUUCUUUUCCCAACCUGCCUCCAGUCUGCCUGCUCCAUGACCCCAGAUGUCUGCUUGAGUCAGCUCCAGGCCUGUGUGGGGGCGGCCCCUUGAUGUUAGCAUUGUGUUACUACUGAUGUAUUGGAGAAGCAUGCUGAGAUGGAUUCUUGUAAUUCAGUCCCUUUUUUAAGUAGUCAGAUGAUAAAAUAUGGCAUAAGAAUAUAAGCCUUCCAAGUUAGGUAUGUGUAUUAGGUUUGUAUAAGUCUGUUCCUGCCAGUUUGACUUUGAGAUACAUUGGAGCAAACUGCAAACUUUAGUUUUUAAAUUACAGUUAAUAUUAAAAAAAAAAAUGUUUCUAGGCUGGGCGCAGUGGCUCAUGCCUGUAAUCCCAGCAUUUUGGGUGGCUGAGGCAGGUGGAUUACUUAGGUCCAGGAGUUCAAGACCAGCCUGACCAACAUAAUGAAACCCCAUAACUACCAAAAAUACAAAAAUUAGUCAGGUGUAGUGGUGCACUGUAAUCCCAGCUACUUGGGAGACACAGGCAGGAGAAUUGCUUGAACCUGGGAGGUGGAGGUUGCAGUGAGCUGAGAUUGUGCCACUGCACUCCAGCCUGGGCGACAGAGUGAGACUCUGUCUCUUAAAAAAAAAAAGUGAGGCAUUCCAAGAUGGCCGAAUAGGAGCAGCUCCAGUCUGCAGCUCCCAUCAUGAUUGAUGCAGAAGACAGGUGAUUUCUGCAUUUCCAACUGAGGUACCUGGUUAAUCUCAUUGGGACUGGUUGGACAGUGGGUGCAGCCCACAGAGGGUGAGCUGAAGCAGGGUGGGGCAUCACCUCACCCAGGAAGCACAAGGGAUCAGAGGAUUUCCCUUUCCUAGCCAAGGGAAGCCAUGACAGACGGUACCUGGAAAAACGGGUCACUCCUGCCCAAAUACUGCUCUUUUCCCAAGGUCUUAGCAACCAGCAGACAAGGUGAUUCUCUCCUGUGCCUGGCUUGGCAGGUCCCAUGCCCAUGGAGCCUUGCUCACUGCUAGCGUAGCAGUCUGAGAUCAAUCUGCGAGGCAGAAGCCUGGCUGUGGGAGGGGCGUCCACCGUUGCUGAGGCUUGAGUAGGUAAACAAAGCGGCCAGGAAGCUCGAACUGGGCAGAGCCCGCUGCAGCUCAACAAGGCCUACUGCCUCUAGACUCCACCUCUGUGGGCAGGGUAUAGCCGAACAAAAGGCAGCAGACAACUUCUGCAGACUUAAAUGUCCCUGUCUGACAGCUCUGAAGAGAGCAGUGGUUCUCCCAGCAUGGCAUAUGUGCUCUCACACCACUACUAUUCAACAUACUAUUGGAAGUUCUGGCCAAGGGAAUCUGGCAAGAAAGAGAAAUAAAGGGUAUUCAAAUAGGAAGAGAGAAAGUCAAAUUGUCUCUGUUUGCAGACAACAUGAUUGUAUAUUUAGAAAACCCCAUCGUCUCAGCCCAAAAUCUCCUUAAGCUGAUAAGCAACUUCAGCAAAGUCUCAGAAUACAAAAUCAAUGUGCAAAAAUCACAAGUAUUCCUAUACAUCAUUAACACACAAACAGAGAGCCAAAUCAUGAGUGAACUCCCAUUCACAAUUGCUACAAAGAGAAUAAAAUACCUAGGAAUCCAACUUACAAGGGAUGUGAAGCACCUCUUCAAGGAGAACUACAAACCACUGCUCAACAAAAUAAAAGAGGACACAAACAAAUGGAAGAAUAUUCCAUGCUCAUGGAUAGGAAGAAUCAAUAUCAUGAAAAUGGCCAUACUGCCCAAAGUAAUUUAUAGAUUCAGUGCCAUCCCCGUCAAGCUACCAAUGACUUUCUUCACAGAAUUGGAAAAAACUACUUUAAAGUUCAUAUGGAACCAAAAAAGAGCCCGCAUUGCUAAGACUAUCCUAAGCAAAAAGAACAAAGCUGGAGGCAUCACGUUACCUGACUUCAAACUAUACUACAAGGCUACAGUAACCAAAACAGCAUGGUACUCAUACCAAAACAGAGACAUAGACCAAUGGAACAGAACAGAGGCCUCAGAAAUAACACCACACAUCUACAACCAUCUGAUCUUUGACAAACCUAACAAAAACAAGAAAUGGGGAAAGGAUUCCUUUUUAACAAAUGGUGCUGGGAAAACUGGCUACCCAUAUCUAGAAAGCUGAAACUGGGUCACUUCCUUACACCUUAUACAAAAAUUAAUUCAAGAUGGAUUAAAAACUUAAAUGUUAGACCUGGCUGGGCAUGGUGGCUUACACCUAUAAUCCCAGCACUUUGGGAGGCCGAGGUGGGCGGAUCAUGAGGUCAUGAGAUGAGACCAUCCUGGUUAAUAUGGUGAAACCCUGUCUCUACUAAAAAUACCCAAAAAAUUAGCUGGGCAUGGUGGCAGGCACCUGUAAUCUCAGCUACUCGGGAGG
rnacentral:lncRNA from 1 species